GAUGAACGCUGGCGGCGUGCCUAAUACAUGCAAGUCGAGCGAACAGACCAGGAGCUUGCUCCUCUGACGUUAGCGGCGGACGGGUGAGUAACACGUGGAUAACCUACCUAUAAGACUGGGAUAACUUCGGGAAACCGGAGCUAAUACCGGAUAAUAUAUUGAACCGCAUGGUUCAAUAGUGAAAGACGGUUUUGCUGUCACUUAUAGAUGGAUCCGCGCCGCAUUAGCUAGUUGGUAAGGUAACGGCUUACCAAGGCGACGAUGCGUAGCCGACCUGAGAGGGUGAUCGGCCACACUGGAACUGAGACACGGUCCAGACUCCUACGGGAGGCAGCAGUAGGGAAUCUUCCGCAAUGGGCGAAAGCUUGACGGAGCAACGCCGCGUGAGUGAUGAAGGUCUUCGGAUCGUAAAACUCUGUUAUUAGGGAAGAACAAAUGUGUAAGUAACUAUGCACGUCUUGACGGUACCUAAUCAGAAAGCCACGGCUAACUACGUG
rnacentral:rRNA from 1 species